UCCUUGCUUAACUACUGGAGUACUAACCUAAAAUGUCAAAAGCUGGUGAGACAGGGUUGUCACAGGCAAAUCGCGUGGAAAUGAGAGAAAAUGACAUAAACAUUCAUGUGAAUUACUACUCUCCAUAUAUUUAAUAGCCUUAAACACUGUAAAAUCUAGAGUUUUCAUGAAGUGGAAUCAAAGAUCUUGCCAAAGGUCCCAAUAAGAUGAAGUUACAUUGUGAAGCACAUCUACUGUUCUCUGUACAACAGCCUAAAGGCUACAGAGAUAUGUACUGUCACCAGACCGAGAAAAAUUGUUCUGCUUUUUAGCAGUGUACUUCCCAAUGCACUGUAAUUUCUCCUGAUUUACAUCACUACAUCACUUCCACAUCAACAUGCAUCUGUUAUGUUAUACAAAUGCAGAUGCUUAGAUUUCAAUCACACUUAAAAAAAAAAAAAAGUAUAGAUGAACUGUAUGCACACAAUUCAACUUGAGAGGCCUCCAAAAGGCGAUACCAUAGACGUAGACCAGCCAAUGAGGAUCACAUGCUAUUUACUUUCUCAUGUGAUAGCCAGAGAAAACAAAGCAUAAAUGUAAUAAAUAUAAGCUGUAAAUUAAUUAAGGCAGAAAGCAGAGAGCCUUUUAUGAACUGGUAACAUUCUCCAAGAGCAUAGCUUUUUCCUAUCUCCAGCCUGGAGCUCUCCGUGUGUGCUUUACAUAAAUGGGAAAAGAAAUACUGACUCCACCGAAUCACUGUAUGUGAUGUUUGAUUUACAACAGCCCACUGAAGUUCAUUCACUGUGAAUGUUGAGAAGUCAUCAGUCUUUAUAUAUUAAAAAUACACCAAGGAGAGACUGAUGUUCUCACUGUUUCUUCUCUAGUUGAUUUAUGAAAAUAGCUAAGAAAAAAACAAAAAGCAACAAAAAACCUGGGAAUGACUGACCAGGUAGGGACACUAGAAGUAUGAUUAUAAAUGCAGUCACUAUACUGGGGCUUAGUCAAUUUUUAUUUUUAAAAAAUUCUCCUAAACAAAUCUGGAUAGCACUGCUUCUUCUGAGUUACCUUUUCUUUGGUUGACAGGGUCCCACUAUGUAGUUCAACCUCCUGCCUCAGUCUCCCGAGUGCUGGGACCACAGGUGUGUGCCACACCACCGCACCCGGCCGGCCUAUUUCUGACUAACCAAAAGUUCUCAUCCUUUUUAUAAAGAACACUGGCUGUAUAUCCAUGUACAACAAACAUCUGCAUACUGCUAAGUAUCUGCCAAGCACUGGGGACAGAGCAGCAGGGUCUAGAUGUAUUAUUGCUGAGACCAGUCUUGAAUUGUGGACUCAAGUGUUCCUCCCACUGAAGUUUCCCAGGACUCAAAUUGGCAGGUACCACCACUGUACUGGCCUGGCAUUUUUUUUGUUUUGUACCAGGGAUCGAACUCAGGUCCUUGUGCUUGUGAGGCAUGCGGCGGCACCACUGAGCUAAAUCCCCAGCACUUUUCUGAGACCAAAGAGUCAAAAUUAUAAGAACUAAAAAAUGGAAGCAUCCAUUGAGAGCAUAUUAAUUAAUCCUUUAAUUUAUACUUCACCUCAGAAAUUUUGACAAACAGCUCAGCAAGAGGAUAAAUCUGGUGUUUAUGUAUGAAUUUUGGCAUAAGCUAUCUUUAAAUAAAUGUACAAUAUUUGAAAUGAGCAUCAAUCUGUGAUGUAUUUUGGAAUGCAUGGUAAAAAAAUAAUACUAUGUAACAGUUAUUGUAAUAAGGGACAUUCAUAUAAUGUGUAAGAGAGGUGAAACUAGAAGCAGAAAAAAAAUCCAAUUAUUUGAACGC